rnacentral:rRNA from 1 species
UACAGAGGUCUCAACCGUUGUUCGGAUUCAUUGGGCGUAAAGGGCGCGUAGGCGGCCUGGUCAGUCGGACCUUUAAGAGCGGGGCUCACCCCCGUGGUGGGUUCGGGACGGCCGGGCUGGGGCGCGGCAGAGGGGGACGGGAAUGCCGGGUGUAGUGGUGAAAUGCGUAGAGAUCCGGCGGAACACCGGUGGUGAAGACGGUCCCCUGGGCCGAGGCCGACGCUGAGGCGCGAGAGCGCGGGGGAGCGAACCGG